GACGAACGCUGGCGGCGUGCUUAACACAUGCAAGUCGAACGGAAAGGCCCUGCUUUUGUGGGGUGCUCGAGUGGCGAACGGGUGAGUAACACGUGAGUAACCUGCCCUUGACUUUGGGAUAACUUCAGGAAACUGGGGCUAAUACCGGAUAGGAGCUCCUGCUGCAUGGUGGGGGUUGGAAAGUUUCGGCGGUCGGGGAUGGACUCGCGGCUUAUCAGCUUGUUGGUGGGGUAGUGGCUUACCAAGGCUUUGACGGGUAGCCGGCCUGAGAGGGUGACCGGCGACAUUGGGACUGAGAUACGGCGCAGACUCCUACGGGAGGCAGCAGUGGGGAGUAUUGCACAAUGGGCGGAAGCCGGAUGCAGCAACGCCGGGGGCGGGAUGACGGCCUUCGGGUUGUAAACCGCUUUCGCCUGUGACGAAGCGGGAGUGACGGUAAUGGGUAAAGAAGCACCGGCUAACUACGUG
rnacentral:rRNA from 1 species